rnacentral:misc_RNA from 1 species
CACAAACUCCUGAUAUCUUUAUUGGGCAAAAAGCAUCCUGUUGAUCCGGAACACACAGAAAAUCAGUGUUUAUUUUAUGCUUUGGAUUUGAAUUUUGAUUUGCUUCCUUUGGUGGUGACAGAAUAUCAAUAGUGCUAAAUUUUUAUAAUUACAAACAUACUAAAUUUCAGGGGUUAUUUAUUUAGUUUAUGCCCAUUUUAAUCAAAAUGUAUUCAUUCAAAUUAUAGGUAGGUGUUAGAAUGUACUGUUUUUGUGAUAUGCAGAACUAAAUCAAGAAUGAUAAAGGAGAAACGUCGUAUCAACUAAUUUCAAUAUAUGAAUUAUUGUAUGCAUCAUUUAACCCUUUGUAUUCACAUUUUAUUUAAAGAAUUGACAGAAAUAGUUGCAGCUGAACUUCUAAAUGUAAUGUGUUGAUAUACAUUGUGUAGCAUUUUCAAAAUCAUUGUCUUUCAUUAUUCAAUUAUUUUUCAUUCAAAUGGAUUGAAAUACUCUGGUUGACUUCUAUUGGGAAUGAUAAAUAGUUUGGGCUGUUUUAAUUUAUGUUCUUAAUUUUAUGGUAAAUGGAAAUAUUUGACUUUUUAUUUGUCAGUGAAAAAUAUAACGUUGGAAUUGAAAAUAAUUAACAUUGGAAAAAUAUCAAUUGUAUAAGGCAUGGAAAAGUAAUUUAGAUGUUGCUAUAAAAAAUGGUUCCUUUGGUUCUGUAAUGAAGCGUACUACAUGUAUUUUAAAGCAAAGAAAAAAUGUCAGCAACUGUUGUUAAAAAUGUGAUAGGCUUAUUAAUAAUUUUUAUGCUUGUAUAUCAAAACAAAAAUGCCCAGAUAAAAAAGGAUGAUCAGUGAUUUGUACAUACCAGUUCACCCUUUCUGUGUCACCAAUACAUUUUGUAAAUUCAUAAGGUAUUCAAUGCUUGUGUGGAGCUAUUGUCAAGGCACUGUAUCAGUUCUCAGUGGCUACCCUUCAUGUCUGUCCCACUGUGUUUUUUCCAGACAUGUCUUCAUCUGGAAAUGUUUUUAUUUUUCGUAGACAUUCUGUUUUGCAGAUUGUAGUUCAUAUUUUAGUAGACUGGUACGGAAAUAAAAAAUAGUGCUAUCUUUGGAGUUGUCUGACCGUGUUCCUGUGCAACUGAUUGGGUGAUGCUGUUUAUGCGUGGGUUUUAUUUGUAAAGUUUGUAUGAUUUUUGAAUGUUCUGUCAAAUAUACACAUUGACAUAUACCUGAUUUUCAAUCAUUGUUGUUCAAACUUUCAACGAAAACUAUGUAAAUCUGACAGUGAUUACAGAUGAAAUAGAAUUUAUUACAGUAUAGACAUUUGUAUGAUGUAAGUUAAAGGACUUAUAAUAGUGUUUGUAAAAAUGCUCAAAAUUGUAUUUGAAAACUAUUAUAUUAUACAAAUUUUUACUCUUUGUACAAGUUUGAAAAAAAAAAGUUGGUUAAAACUAAUGUAAUUUUAGAAAAACUUUGGUCUUUUAGUGAAGGUUUUGUCUGAAGAGCUUUUGUAAUAAUGUUGGACUAUAUUGUUUUAGGGGACAUCUAAUGUCCCGAGUUUUGUUGAAGGUUUUUCCUGUUAAGUGCUAUCUUUUAUCAGAUCCUAUGUAUAUAUUGUACAUUAUUCAUUUAUGUAGAUGAAAUCGUUAUUUUACAUAAAAAUACAAUAUGUCUAAUAU